CCUACGGGUGGCAGCAGUGAGGAAUAUUGCACAAUGGGCGAGACCCUGAUCCAGCGAAGCCGCGUGAGUGAAGAAGUAAUUCGUUAUGUAAAGCCCUAUCAGCCGGGAAGAAAAUGACGGUACCUGAGUAAGAAGCCCCGGCUAACUACGUGCCAGCAGCCGCGAGAAUACGUAGGGGGCAAGCGUUAUCCGGAUUUACUGGGGGUAAAGGGAGCGUAGACGGCAGUGCAAGUCUGGAGUGAAAGGCGGGGGCUCAACCCCCGGACGGCUCUGGAAACUGUACGGCUGGAGUGCAGGAGAGGUAAGUGGAAUUCCUAGUGUAGCGGUGAAAUGCGUAGAUAUUAGGAGGAACACCAGUGGCGAAGGCGGCAUACCGGACUGUAACUGACGUUGAGGCUCGAAAGCGUGGGGAGCGAACAGGAUUAGAUACCCCAGUAGUC
rnacentral:rRNA from 1 species